UACGUAGGGACCAAGCGUUGUUCGGAUUUACUGGGCGUAAAGGGCGCGUAGGCGGCGUGGUAAGUCAGCUGUGAAAUCUCCGAGCUUAACUCGGAACGGUCAGCUGAUACUGCUGUGCUAGAGUGCAGAAGGGGCAAUCGGAAUUCUUGGUGUAGCGGUGAAAUGCGUAGAUAUCAAGAGGAACACCUGAGGUGAAGACGGGUUGCUGGGCUGACACUGACGCUGAGGCGCGAAGCUAGGGUAGCAAACGGG
rnacentral:rRNA from 1 species